ACCAUCAAAUGUUUACUAUAGGAAAGGUUUGUGAUGUGUUUCUCAGCUGCAGAUGGGUGUUUGAUGGUCUGCAUGGGGUUUAACUUUACCUCUGGAUCCUCCUGGUGUUUAGCACCAGGACAAGUCAGACAAGAGGUUUUAACUGCAAUUGCACCGAGCUUGUACUGAAAGAGGAAGAGAAGAUCAGGGCAGGACCCCAAAACUCACACCUAUCUUUGCCUUCAGUAGAGUCCCAAAUCCAGUGUAUCUUACGCUUACAAUAGGGUGGAAGAGGUGAAAGAAAAAACAAACUUCUUGAUUUUUAGGUUAUUGUAAGGCUGGGCCUGCUCAGUCCCACCAACACUGGCCACCCCCUCUGGGAUUCCAGCUCACUGGCACCAGAAAUACCUGUUUCCAUGAGAUUUAUGAUACAUUCAAAGGGUUCUUCAAAGCCUUCCAGUGACUUAACCUCACUGUGGUGGAGUCAGUGUUGAUUCAUCUUGAACUACUUCCAAAUCUAGCUGGGAAAUUGUUGCCAGGAGACCACCUUGUGUGAAAACUUCACCCAUUUGAGACCAAGCCAGCAUGGAGUGAGUCUGCCUACCUCCUCAUAGAAGCAAAAAGAAAGGGUCAAAAAAGAAAGGUCUUCUUUUAGCCAGAUAUUGGCAAUGAAAUGAGGCAUACUAGAGAUAGCAAAACAAAACAUGGGAGGCCUGGACUCACCUUCAAACUCAGAUUUCUCACUCUUCAAGAGCACUGUUUUUGGCAAGAGACUUUGUCAACAAGAGAUGGACCUCAAUUCACAGUUCUUGUGCAUCUUCAAGGCACAGACAACAGAGGGGCCAGCUAAUCCUUCCAACCCAGUCAAAAAGAAUGAGAGAAGUGGUGAGGAAGAGGAGCAGGAGGCAGUAAGGAGCUCUCUUGCUCCUCGAGAUGCUCUUGACAGGAGGAAACAGUACAAGCCAGCAUGUAUUUGUGGAUAAACGAACUUCUUCCUGCUUCAGUUUCUUGUCUGUCGUUGACCUUCUUGCACUAGCCAAAAGCUGUGCUACUGACACAACACAUUGUUCGUUCCAUCCUCCCGUGCUUAAGAGCAACCACCCCUAUAUUUAGCACUCACCAUUUUGCAUUGUGCUGCAACAAACACACGCCCUGCCAGGCACUCUGCGGGUGCUCCAAGGCGGGGCUUGAUGAUUUUAGGUGGACAUUCCCUAUUUUUAGCUAUCAGAUGGCGUGUGGAUGUGUUGGUUCAUCGUAAUUCUUUCCAUGUGACAGAUCUGGAUGUAGUUUAUAGCUCUCCAUGAUGCAAAAACCCAUGCAUUUCCCCCCCAUGCGGCAGGUGGAUGGAGGAGGGGAGAAGGGCUGAGAGCUGUGCUCUGUGUGAAAGCUGGGUAAGGAAGGGACAAGAUGAAUCCCCCCAGGAAGUGUUGUUUUGGAGAGAGUCUAAGGGAAUAUCUCAAUGCUUGAGUCUUGUGCUGCUAGAGCAUUUGUCUUCUUAUGGGAUCAUUUGUAUUACUAGGACAUAUCUUAUGGGAUGGUUGUUUCAUGGCCAGUAAUAAGUUGUUCAUCAAGAGUGAAGCCAUCUUGUCACUAUGGUCUUUCUGGUCUCUUUUACUGGCAUCUAUUAAAAAAUAAAAAUAAAAAAGAGAUGGCAAGUGGGUCAGAUCCAAUCUGAUUAGACUGACCCAACUCCAGAGAAGAUUAUCCCACCAUUAUUAUUUAUUAACUGCCAUGGAUUAAUCAGAAGUUCAAGGCUAGGGACCAAAGAGCAGGAGUGGAUGGCUGAUUUUCCCAGUAGGGAUGUGAUGUUUUAGGUUCCAGCCUCUUCUGGGUUUGUUCAGUUCAACCUUUUUUAGCAACAAUGAUAAAUAAUGAAGCUAGAAGAAAUUUAUGCAGCUUAGCAUGAAGAACUGCAGGAGGAUGUUCUAGUUUGGAGAAAGUAAGUGGUAAAUUGGACAGUUCACAUUUGAUAUUGAUAAGUAACUGCACAUGGCAAAAAGCAGCUUAGCUAUACGUGGGUCCCCAGUUAUCCAUUCCUGGGGUGACAUCUUUAUAUCAGUGGAAAAAGCAGAAUGAAAUGUCAUCAUUGAACUCAACCAAAGUCAAAGAAAACAAAUAGAAGUUUGGAGGUUUGGGUUUUUGUUUUUUUUUUUUUUGUUAUAUGCUUUUUAAAAAGCCUAACAACCAUGGCACUGAGUAAAUCUCUUGGGAGCUGACCUCUUGCAUGAUGUACACAAUGCUAAUCCCCUCACCUCGACUGGAUACAAUGGGACUGGAAAAGGUAAAAGCACCAGGAACAAUCAUAGGCCCCAAACAACCUCUUGUGUAAGCACUGCCUAGGGAAUAGACUGGGACUCCAUUGUCUGCAAAAGAGAAAGCAGAGCAGGAGAACAGCUAUUGGGCCAGAACAUCUGGAGUGACAGGGGUGGGAGGAGGCAGGAGAAUUCAUUCCUUCCAGUAAUUCAGGAGCUGGGAGGCAUCUUUUACUGAACAAAAGCCAGGCAGACUGCAGGUGUGGCUCUCUCUGCCUCAAGAUGCUUUGGAAGCCAAAAGAGUGAAUAGGGAAUAAUAAUUCUAUAAAGGAUUAGAAAAAUUAGAAAAAUAUGGUGCUCUGGAUAGCACCCCUGUGCUGGAGGUUGUGGGGUGUUUGUUUAUCACUGCAGUUCUCGUGGGUCUUCUCUAGGAAUAUACCUGUCUGCCCACUCUCCCUUUUUACCCAUCUCUAGUUAGUCAUAGGGCACAACACUGACUUGGAUCAAGCUUUGCUCCUACCCACUGAGGUUGUCAUCAUAGAAUCAUUUGAGUUGGAAGGGUCCCUUAAAUGUCAUCUAGUCCAACUCCCCUGCAAUGAACAGGGGCACC